rnacentral:rRNA from 1 species
GAAUUCACUAGUGAUUAGAGUUUGAUCAUGGCUCAGAUUGAACGCUGGCGGAAUGCUUUACACAUGCAAGUCGAACGGCAGCACGGGAGCUUGCUCCUGGUGGCGAGUGGCGAACGGGUGAGUAAUGCGUCGGAACGUACCGAGUAAUGGGGGAUAACGCGGCGAAAGUCGCGCUAAUACCGCAUACGCCCUGAGGGGGAAAGCGGGGGAUCGCAAGACCUCGCGUUAUUCGAGCGGCCGACGUCUGAUUAGCUAGUUGGUGGGGUAAAGGCUCACCAAGGCGACGAUCAGUAGCGGGUCUGAGAGGAUGAUCCGCCACACUGGGACUGAGACACGGCCCAGACUCCUACGGGAGGCAGCAGUGGGGAAUUUUGGACAAUGGGGGCAACCCUGAUCCAGCCAUUCCGCGUGAGUGAAGAAGGCCUUCGGGUUGUAAAGCUCUUUCAGCUGGAGCGAAACGGUACGCUCUAACAUAGCGUGCUAAUGACGGUACCAGCAGAAGAAGCACCGGCUAACUACGUGCCAGCAGCCGCGGUAAUACGUAGGGUGCGAGCGUUAUCCGGAAUUACUGGGCGUAAAGGGUGCGUAGGCGGUUUAUCAAGUCAGGGGUGAAAGGCUACGGCUCAACCGUAGUGAGCCUCUGAAACUGGUGAACUUGAGUGUAGGAGAGGAAAGUGGAAUUCCCAGUGUAGCGGUGAAAUGCGUAGAUAUUGGGAGGAACACCAGUGGCGAAGGCGACUUUCUGGACUACAACUGACGCUGAGGCACGAAAGCGUGGGGAGCAAACAGGAUUAGAUACCCUGGUAGUCCACGCCCUAAACGAUGUCAACUGGUUGUUGGGGGAUUUAUUUCUUCAGUAACGAAAGCUAACGCGUGCAGUUGACCGCCUGGGAGUACGGGCAGGUUAAAACUCAAGGAAUUGACGUGUCCCGCACAAGCCGUGAUGUGUUAAUUCGAUGCCGCGAAGACUUUACCCACUGGACAUGUAAACGAAGUGUCGGGUUCUCGCGGAAACCAUAAACACCGG